GGUUAAGCGACUAAGCGUACACGGUGGAUGCCCUGGCAGUCAGAGGCGAUGAAGGACGUGCUAAUCUGCGAAAAGCGUCGGUAAGGUGAUAUGAACCGUUAUAACCGGCGAUGUCCGAAUGGGGAAACCCAGUGCAAUUCGUUGCACUAUCGUUAACUGAAUACAUAGGUUAACGAGGCGAACCGGGGGAACUGAAACAUCUAAGUACCCCGAGGAAAAGAAAUCAACCGAGAUUCCCCCAGUAGCGGCGAGCGAACGGGGAGCAGCCCAGAGUCUGAAUCAGCUUGUGUGUUAGUGGAACGGUCUGGAAAGUCCGACGGUACAGGGUGAUAGUCCCGUACACCAAAAUGCACAGGCUGUGAACUCGAAGAGUAGGGCGGGACACGUGGUAUCCUGUCUGAAUAUGGGGGACCAUCCUCCAAGGCUAAAUACUCCUGACUGACCGAUAGUGAACCAGUACCGUGAGGGAAAGGCGAAAAGAACCCCGGCGAGGGGAGUGAAAAAGAACCUGAAACCGUGUACGUACAAGCAGUGGGAGCACCUUCGGGUGUGACUGCGUACCUUUGUAUAAUGGGUCAGCGACUUAUAUUCUGUAGCAAGGUUAACCGUAUAGGGGAGCCGCAGGAAACCGAGUCUUAACUGGGCGUUAAGUUGCAGGGUAUAGACCCGAAACCCGGUGAUCUAGCCAUGGGCAGGUUGAAGGUUGGGUAACACUAACUGGAGGACCGAACCGACUAAUGUUGAAAAAUUAGCGGAUGACUUGUGGCUGGGGGUGAAAGGCCAAUCAAACCGGGAGAUAGCUGGUUCUCCCCGAAAGCUAUUUAGGUAGCGCCUCGUGAAUUCAUCUUCGGGGGUAGAGCACUGUUUCGGCUAGGGGGUCAUCCCGACUUACCAACCCGAUGCAAACUACGAAUACCGAAGAAUGUUAUCACGGGAGACACACGGCGGGUGCUAACGUCCGUCGUGAAGAGGGAAACAACCCAGACCGCCAGCUAAGGUCCCAAAGUCAUGGUUAAGUGGGAAACGAUGUGGGAAGGCACAGACAGCCAGGAUGUUGGCUUAGAAGCAGCCAUCAUUUAAAGAAAGCGUAAUAGCUCACUGGUCGAGUCGGCCUGCGCGGAAGAUGUAACGGGGCUAAACCAUGCACCGAAGCUGCGGCAGCGACACUAUGUGUUGUUGGGUAGGGGAGCGUUCUGUAAGCCUGCGAAGGUGUGCUGUGAGGCAUGCUGGAGGUAUCAGAAGUGCGAAUGCUGACAUAAGUAACGAUAAAGCGGGUGAAAAGCCCGCUCGCCGGAAGACCAAGGGUUCCUGUCCAACGUUAAUCGGGGCAGGGUGAGUCGGCCCCUAAGGCGAGGCCGAAAGGCGUAGUCGAUGGGAAACAGGUUAAUAUUCCUGUACUUGGUGUUACUGCGAAGGGGGGACGGAGAAGGCUAUGUUAGCCGGGCGACGGUUGUCCCGGUUUAAGCAUGUAGGCUGGUUGUCCAGGCAAAUCCGGAUAAUCAAGGCUGAGGUGUGAUGACGAGGCACUACGGUGCUGAAGUAACAAAUGCCCUGCUUCCAGGAAAAGCCUCUAAGCAUCAGGUAACAUCAAAUCGUACCCCAAACCGACACAGGUGGUCAGGUAGAGAAUACCAAGGCGCUUGAGAGAACUCGGGUGAAGGAACUAGGCAAAAUGGUGCCGUAACUUCGGGAGAAGGCACGCUGGUGUGUAGGUGAAGUCCCUGCGGAUGGAGCUGAGACCAGUCGAAGAUACCAGCUGGCUGCAACUGUUUAUUAAAAACACAGCACUGUGCAAACACGAAAGUGGACGUAUACGGUGUGACGCCUGCCCGGUGCCGGAAGGUUAAUUGAUGGGGUUAUCCGUAAGGAGAAGCUCUUGAUCGAAGCCCCGGUAAACGGCGGCCGUAACUAUAACGGUCCUAAGGUAGCGAAAUUCCUUGUCGGGUAAGUUCCGACCUGCACGAAUGGCGUAAUGAUGGCCGGGCUGUCUCCACCCGAGACUCAGUGAAAUUGAACUCGCUGUGAAGAUGCAGUGUACCCGCGGCAAGACGGAAAGACCCCGUGAACCUUUACUAUAGCUUGACACUGAACAUUGAGCCUUGAUGUGUAGGAUAGGUGGGAGGCUUUGAAGCGUGGACGCCAGUCUGCGUGGAGCCAACCUUGAAAUACCACCCUUUAAUGUUUGAUGUUCUAACGUUGGCCCCUUACCGGGGUUGCGGACAGUGUCUGGUGGGUAGUUUGACUGGGGCGGUCUCCUCCCAAAGCGUAACGGAGGAGCACGAAGGUUAGCUAAUCCUGGUCGGACAUCAGGAGGUUAGUGCAAUGGCAUAAGCUAGCUUGACUGCGAGCGUGACGGCGCGAGCAGGUGCGAAAGCAGGUCAUAGUGAUCCGGUGGUUCUGAAUGGAAGGGCCAUCGCUCAACGGAUAAAAGGUACUCCGGGGAUAACAGGCUGAUACCGCCCAAGAGUUCAUAUCGACGGCGGUGUUUGGCACCUCGAUGUCGGCUCAUCACAUCCUGGGGCUGAAGUAGGUCCCAAGGGUAUGGCUGUUCGCCAUUUAAAGUGGUACGCGAGCUGGGUUUAGAACGUCGUGAGACAGUUCGGUCCCUAUCUGCCGUGGGCGCUGGAGAAUUGAGGGGGCUGCUCCUAGUACGAGAGGACCGGAGUGGACGCAUCACUGGUGUUCGGGUUGUCAUGCCAAUGGCACUGCCCGGUAGCUAAAUGCGGAAGAGAUAAGUGCUGAAAGCAUCUAAGCACGAAACUUGCCCCGAGAUGAGUUCUCCCUGAGACUUUAAGUCUCCUGAAGGAACGUUGAAGACGACGACGUUGAUAGGCCGGGUGUGUAAGCGCAGCGAUGCGUUGAGCUAACCGGUACUAAUGAACCGUGAGGCUUAACCUU
rnacentral:rRNA from 1 species